AAAAAGGUGAAGGUCGUAUUUCCUGCCUGCCUGGUAAUUUAUAAGUAAUUUGACGAAUGGCAUUUGCGA
rnacentral:tRNA from 1 species